UACGUAGGUUGCAAGCGUUGUCCGGAUUUACUGGGCGUAAAGAGCGCGCAGGCGGUCGUUCAAGUCGAGUGUGAAAGCCCCCGGCUCAACUGGGGAGGGUCACUCGAUACUGAUCGACUCGAAGGCAGAAGAGGGAAGCGGAAUUCCCGGUGUAGUGGUGAAAUGCGUAGAUAUCGGGAGGAACACCAGUGGCGAAGGCGGCUUUCUGGUCUGCUCUUGACGCUGAGGCGCGAAAGCUAGGGUAGCAAACGGG
rnacentral:rRNA from 1 species